rnacentral:rRNA from 1 species
GAUGAACGCUGGCGGCGUGCCUAAUACAUGCAAGUCGAGCGAAGCGGGGACGGGUGAGUAACACGUGGAUAACCUCCUAUAAGACUGGGAUAACUUCGGGAAACCGUAGCUAAAACGGAUACUUAUAGAUGGAUCAGCGCUGCAUGAGCUAGUUGGUAAGGUAACUGCUGACCAAGGCAACGAUGGAUAGCCGACAUGAGAGGGUGAUCGGCCACACUGGAACGGAUACACGGUCCAGACGCCUACGGGAGGCAGCAGUAGGGAAUAUUCCGCAAUGGGCGGAAGCAUGAUGGAGCAAGGCCGCGAGAGUGAUGAAGGUCUUCUGAGCGAAGAAGGCGGUUAUUCGGGAAGCGGUACCUAUAGAGAAAGCCACGGCUAACUACGUGCCAGCAGCCGCGGUAAUAC